GGCUGACAGCUCACGACCCCCCCAUGUAAUAACUUCACGACCCCCUGAGAGUUCCCAACCCCCAGUUUGAGAAUCCCUGGUUUAUACUGAUGAUAGACUACUAACCGCUUUUAACCCUCAACAAUGGAAAAGACUUGAAUCAAGCACCACUGAGAUGAUAACAUCUAUUGUUUGGGUUAAUGUGAUUUAAAUUUUGCUAAAUAUGAUCCUGGGAAAAAUCUGGUAGUAGCAGACACUCUGUCAUGGAGCCCAGCAUCACACUCAUCUACCUGUGAGCUUGAAGAUUACAUAAAGGCUUACAUGGAUGCUCUGGAUGCAUACAGACCAGUGUCAGAAAAGAGACUACACCAGCUAUAGAAAACAACCUUGACAGACUCGCUACUUCAGGAAGUUCUAAGUUACAUUAGAGCCAGCUGGCCUAACUAUCUAAAGGACAAUGAGGAAGUGACAAGAGAGUGCUUUGCAAUGCGUGGACAAUUAAGUGAAUCAAAAUGGACUUACAAUUAAAGGCAAUUGCAUCUUAAUUCCAAACAAAAUGAGAGGAGAAAUCCUAAACCUCAUCCAUGAAGGACAUCAAGGAUUAACUAAAUGCUGCUAAUGGACCAACUAGUUAGUGUAGUAGCUAGGAACCAGCAAAAAUAUAAAGAAUAAAGUAUCUGUAUGUGAACAUUGCAGAACUAACAGACCAACACAACACAAAGAAACUUUAAUAACAACACCUCUACCAGAGAGAUGUUUAAAGAGACUAGCUGCAGAUUUAUGCAAAUUCAGAGAUCAUCAUUACCUGGUCGUCGUGGACUAUUUUUCCAGGUAUAUAGAAAUAAUGUGCUUGAAAGACAUAACAUGUCACAGUGUUACCGAGAAACUGAAGUACGCUUCAUUAUUCCAUAACAGCUAGUGAUGGGCAAUGGACCACAAUUCAUUGCAGCAGAAUUGGUCAUUCCAAACAAAAUAAGAUUUUGAUCAUAUUCCUAACAGCCCACAUUAUCCACAAGCAAAUGGAGAGGCUGAGAGAGCUAUACAGACAGCCAAGAAAAUCCUACAACAGGAAAAUCCAUUCCUUGCUCUUCUGAGUUACAGAUCAACACCAACAGCAGCUACUGGGCAUAACCCAGCACAACUCCUGAUGGGAAGACAACUCAGAACUACUGUUCCAACUUUGGAAAAGAAUCCAGCUCCAAAGUGGCCAGACACGAAGAGAGUUGCCAAAUUGGAUAAAAAGGCUUAAAGAGCUUAUGAAUGCUUUUGCAACAGAUUUCAUUCAGUUAGAGAACUGCUGGGUCUAGAACCUAGUGACGAUGUUCAUAUCAAAUUGGGUGGAGAAAAGGUGUGGACAACUCCAGCUGUCGUAAAGAAAAAGAAUUCAGUGCCCAGAUCAUAUGUGAUUGAUGGUGGAGAGUUAAACAGAAACCAUUGACAUCUACAGUUUGUUCUUCAGAGAGAACAAUGAACAGAGCAAACUCUACAGAUGGUGGAUGGAGAACAGAAGAAGAAGACUCAAGGAUUCGGGACCAACCACAGCCAGUCAUUGCAACUAAUGGACAGCCAGAUGGCUAAGUGGUUGUGUGUUUGGGUUGUUUAAUUGGAAAACAAGUACAAUUCAGAGACACUUAACAGACGGAUACAUCCUGAACUUCAAAGACAGUGUGAUAGUGUAAAUAUUGUAAAUGGUAGGAAUGUAGAACUUAAAUGGAGAGAUGUAAUGGAAUGUGAAACUGUAUUGUACUGUUCAGCCACUAGGUGGCACUGUGUGUAAAAUACCUCAUUUAAGCUAACCUCAGCCAUACCUGGCAGAGCAUUAAAGGAUCUUAUGACGAACACGCCUGAAUGAGGCGACGAGAGGCCCAGCUGUUCUAGGAAAAGUACAAGUCGAGUCAGCAGCUGUGAAUUCCAGUUCUAGGAAUUGCAGUUGUGGGUCCUGGUGGAAACUUCCUGGAAUUCUCUCUGCCAUUCGAAGGAAAGCAAAAUAACUAUUUCAGUGACCUUAAACUCCCAAAGACUUAGGAGCAAGAGUUUGGAGGCAGCAGAGAUAGAAGGGGUUAAUAUUUUUCUCCUGUAAUUCAGUAGGUUGUUUGGCUUUUGUACUUUAUUUAACGUCAGGGCAACUGGCAUGAGAAAGCGAGCAAGAGAGUUCGCGCCACAGACAGAAGAAGAUAGCUGUAGUGACCACAGGAAUUUUUAAAAGGGAGGUACGGUAAAAAGGUCAGAGUUUUCAGUCAUCAGCCACAACCUCUUUGUGAAAGGUCAGUGUCUGUGUCAGACCUGGGAGACACCCAUAACCAACCUCACACAACCACAGGGCCAUGAAUAAAAGGACCCAGAAAGCCACCAACAGAAAAUGGUGCUGUUGUGUAAGCUGUAACUCAAGACAGCAGGUGCCACCUGGCACUAUGUUGCCUCUGUUAAUUGUUCACCCAUUCUCAGCCCAGUCAGGGAUUUGUCACUUGCUCUCUCCAAACAGGAAAUGAUGGGGAGAUUUCUCCAGUAACCGUGCAAAGCAAUUAAGGAAACAGACUCAGCAUGGCAUGUACAAAGUAACCCUGUUUUCCACACUGUCGGCAGCCAUACGCACAUCUGCUCCUCAGUCUUGGGGAGGAGUGUUCUCACCAUCCUGAGUUAUUUUAAUAGUCCAUCUCCCUUCUGUGCAGCACCACGUAGGCACCAUGUUUGACUUAAAAUCAGCAGCGGCAUUAGGGGGGAAAAGUUUGACAAGUGGGCAUUCAGCUCAAAAGCACUGUCAUAGGUUACAUGCAGCCCUGUUACAAGUGUACACAUUAGUACCUAUUUUUCUUCUCUUACAAGUUUUAACUCCCAAAGGGUCGGCAGCCCCUCUUAACAGAUUCUGAAAGAGAUACUUUAGCUCUGCCAUAGGUUAUUGAGCUUGAGGCAGGAAUUACGGUUUGAAAUUCUCUGGCCUAUGUUAUGCAAGAGGUCAAACUAGAUGCUCAGAAUAGUCCCUUCCAGCCUUAAUAUCAAAAAAUCUAUUCAUUUAACCUGGCUGUUUCCACUCAGCACUUGUUCCUUAGUUUACAUUUGCCCCCAGUCACCCUUUGUGGGUCAGAUGAUAGAUUUUGGAGACUUCACAUCCAAACCGAGACCUUAACCCCCUUCUUGCAUUUCAUUGUGUGUCUGUACAUAAUGGGAUGGGUUUGCUAUGAGAUGGCAACUGACACUAGACAAACUCAGGCUGGAAAUAAGGUAUACAUUUGUAACAGUGAAGGUAAUUAAUCAUUGGAACAACUUAACCAGGAUCGUGGUGGAUUCUCCAUCGCUUGCAAUUUUUAAAUUAAAAUUGGAUUUUUUUUAAAAAAAGAUCUGCUCUAGUUUGAAAUGAAUUAUUAUGGGGAAGUCCUGUGCUAUACAGAAGGUCAGACUGGAUGAUCAGAGUGGUCCCUUCUGGCCUUGGGAUUGCAUUUCACUGCAGCUAAAUGAGAACCCAGGCUCCUUGUGGCAUCCUAGGCAGCAGUUCUACUAGGUGAACCAAAGGGCACCCUCCCAUUGGCCAAGCCAGCAGGAGCCAUGCUGAGCUGCUGUCAGGAGAAGCAGCUCGUGCAUUCUGGGUCUUCACUCUUUCCCCUUCAUUAUUUUCUCCCUAAUGUGCUCAGAUACCACAGUGAUGUGAGCUUGAUUGAUAACGAUGCUGUGGUGCACCUCCUUUGUGGCACACCUCUCCUGAGUCUGUGCUGCUGCUGAGUUGGUGCAAUGCCCAGUAUAAGGGGCUGCUUUCACCUAUAUCACAAAAGCUGUUGGUGGACUGUGUUAGACUAGAAUCUUCAUUCCAUCCCUGGCAUGGCCCCUCCCUCCCAGUAAACCCCCGAUACUCCUGUUUGUGAGACAGGCAAGUAGGGAUGCUCGUGCUAGGGAAAUUGUUUCUAGGCCCCUCACAGUGCAUGUAUGCGGCUGGAAUGGUGUACAUGGGCCAAAGCAGCAGAAAGAAUAUCUCCCAUAAAGUUACCCCUUCAUUGUUAAUUUGUAGAUCUGUAACCUCUCCUCUAUCUCCUUUCAUAUCCUCCUGGCUUCAAGCGUCUUUAUUUUCAUUUCUUACCCCAGUUUUUUCUCUGCAUUUCCCUCACCCUCUUUUCUUUGUUCUUCUCUUUUUUUCUCCUGUGUGUGUGGGGUGUGUGUUUAAAAUAAUUUGCCUUUGCUGCUUGUUUCUUUCCUUUUGAGAAAAGAACAGGAUGGAGAUCAGGCCAGUCAAACAAUUUCAUACUGAGUUUAAAAGCAAACCAAACCCAGGUUUCUUUGUGUUUCAGUUCCUUUUGCUAGUGUAAGUAGCUGCAGGUGGCACAUUUUACAAAUCUGCUCAGUAGAAUGCAAAGUUAUUAGCAGCUAAUGCUCAUGUUGGUGAAGAGCCCAUCAAGGCUUCAGAUAUUAUUUACAUGCAAGAAAGUCUCCAAUAGUGAUUUUUUUAAAGGAAAACUUUUUGCCUUUAUGGCAAACUAAAAACAGAUAGAAGCUAUGAAGUGACAGUCAGUGUGAUGAAUUCAUAUAUUCCAAGGCUGGAAGGAACCAGUGUGAUCAUCUAGUCUGACCUCCUGUAUAACACAGGCCAUAGAACUCCCCCAAAAUAAUUCCUAGAGCAGAUCUUUUAGGAAAUCAUUCAAUCUUGAUUUAAAAGUUAUAAGUGAUGGAAAAUCCACCACAACUCUUGAUAAAUUCUUCCAGUGCUAAUUACCCUCGCUGUUAAAAAUUUACACCUUAUUUCCAGUCUGAAUUUUGCUAGCUUCAACUUCCAGCCAUUGAAUCAUGUUACACCUUUCUCUGCUAGAUUGAAGAGCCCAUUAUGAAAUCCUUGUUUCCCAUGUAGGUACAUAUAGCCUGUAAUCAAGUCACCCCUUAACCUUAUUUUUGUUAACCCAAAUUGAGCUCUUAGAGUGUGUCACUAUAAGGCAUGUUUUCUAAUCCUUUAAUCAGUCUCAUGGCUCUUCUCUGAAACCUCUCCAGUUUACUCUCCAGUGAACUAUGUCCAGUUCUGCUGCUCACUCAAGAUUCCCCUGUUUAUAUAUCCACAGAUCGCAUUAACCCUUUUGGCUGCAGCAUAGCACUGUGAGCUUGUGUUUAGCUGAUGAUCCACCACAACCCCCAAUCUUUUUCAGAGUCACUGCUUCCCAGGACAGAGUUCCCUAUCUUGCAAGUUCUUACAACGAGCUGUGCAGUGAUUCCUGGGAUUACAGAGUGAACAUCUCCAAAGUAAAUGGCUUAAUCUCAGAGAAAGCAGAGGAGAGCUUGCGUCCUUUCCUACAAGGAACAGAUGUUCGAAAUGG